rnacentral:rRNA from 1 species
GACGAACGCUGGCGGCGUGCUUAACACAUGCAAGUCGAACGAAGUGGCGAACGGGUGAGUAACGCGUAAUCAACCUGCCCUUCAGAGGGGACAAACAGUUGGAAACGACUGCUAAUACCGCAUACGGAAGGAGGGGCAUGCGUCUGAUUAGCUAGGUGGGGGGGUAACGGCCCACCAAGGCGAUGUGCAGUAGCCGGUCUGAGAGGAUGAACGGCCACAUUGGGACUGAGACACGGCCCAGACUCCUACGGGAGGCAGCAGUGGGGAAUCUGCCGCAAUGGACGAAAGUCUGACGGAGCAACGCCGCGUGAGUGAUGACGGCCUUCGGGUUGUAAAGCUCUGUUAAUCGGGACGCGGUACCGGAAUAGAAAGCCACGGCUAACUACGUGCCAGCAGCCGCGGUAAUAC